AGUAAAUAAUAAUUUAAAGGCAAAAAAUCACGUAAGAGCACUCCACCAUGCAAUAUGGGACAACACAACCCCUUUGAGAAAACAGUAAGUCCGGGAAAAUCCUUUAGAAAAUAUCUAACUCAGUUUCAAAACCACUUUUAUAAUUAUCUUUUACCAACAAUUAAUCAAGUAAAUGCGGGACAGGUGUGCAAGCCAGCACAAAAGUGAGCCUAUAGGCACAAGCAAGUAAGAAUAAUUUAGCUCGCAACUCGCCCUUCACGCAAUAUUCUUAUCUCUGGUCAGCCGCUAUUACCUGACGCAAUUACAUCAUACAGUGUCACUUUUACCAAUGUCUCAAAUUUAUCCACUUUGAAAGUGAUCAGAUAAUAUCAGAACAACAAAUAGAUAUCUCAAGAAAUGACACAAACAACAAAUGGUGCACAAAUGUAUGAAUGGAAUGC
rnacentral:lncRNA from 1 species